CUGCGGAUGUUUUUUUUGUUCAUAGCAACCGUUGACUUUGUAAUAUUUUUUCGAGGUUUUCGUUUCGCAUUUAAUUUUAACUUCCCUUGAGGAGUAGGAGUAACUUGCUAAUUAAACGUGAAUUCAAUCGAACUGAUAUAAAACAACUACCAACAGGGUUUACCAUUUGAUCGCUCAAUUUUUGGAAAGCAACCGCAACAAGCUCCUGAAUUUCUAUGAAGCAGAAGUGUACGAGGUACUGCACUGCAAUCAAAGGUACUGCAAUCGAUCAGAUCGACGAAAAAUUCCGCUUAUUUGAAACCAGCUUUGUUGAAAACUGCAGUCACAGCUAACUCAAAUCCUACCAGUUCCGAUGAUGUGUCUCACUGGUUUAAAGAUUCGUGAUAUUUCGCAGAACCUCCAAGUCGCUUCAUUUACGGUAGUCGGUCAGUUGUAUCAAGGUACUGCCGAACGGUACAUACCAAAUCUGCUGGUGGAAAAAAUUGUUCGCCUCCCACUGGACCAGAAAUAAAAAACUACGUCGAACGUGUGCAUUUUGUUUCCCAAUUACGGGCAUAUCUAUUUCGACAAGCAUAAUUGAAGUAUCUUAGAAAAAAUUCUUUAGAUGCAGACAUGUACAACUUGAGAACAAUUGACGUCAAAAGUUUACUAGCAUCUACGGCCCAGCGGAUUUUGAACGUUGCACAAAAGCUUCUCCUAUUGGCGAAACGCAACGAAAAUGAGUUGAUUUGUUCGGUUGAGUAGGACAUUAUUCAAACGUUAGUUUUGCAGACCUUUUGCACUACGAAAUUUUUCCUAACCUAAUGCAUAAUGUAAUGAAUUUCGAUUCCAUGGGUCUCGCAACGGAGCUUUGCCUGUUUCGUAUCAUAGCUUGUCGUAAUAAAGUUAUCUCAGGAGCCAAUCGAUCGAUCGAACCUUGCAUGAUCUGCUGUUCCCUGUGAUACAAUAUGAUCAACAGCGCAUAGCGUAGAUUAUUACCUUGUACAAUUCAUCCAUAAAGGUAUUGAGCGAUGGAACGCUCGAAAAUCUUAAGCAAACAAAUUAUCUGCGGAUACUUAUUUCUAAACAGCAACACUCAUACCUUUUUAAGGUGAAACGGGAUUGUGGCCUUUUCCUAUACAAUUUUGAGGUUAGAGUUCUUUUUACUUCUGUAUUUUGAUCGUAAAAAAUUCGACUUCCACUAAAUAAACAGCACUCAAAUUGCUACUUCAGUUGUGAAAACAAUUGAUCAAAGUUUCAUGUACGUAGUCUUCAUUAAUCAAGAAAAAAUGAGAUUGCUAAAUUCGAGUUGAUCGCGACCACGUCCCGUUUCACCUUAAACAAACCGUUUACUAUAUAGAGAAAGUUCUUGGAUUGUUAAUUGGAUCGCAGUUUCGCUGAGGUAUAAUCACUGGAAUAAGUGGAAAAAGCGGAAAUCGGAAUCGUUACAACACUACAAACUGAAGCGUUCGGUGGACCUGUCGCAGAACCGGUUGGACAGCGGUCAUGAGGAACCUACCAAGGCAUUCGGAUAAAUUGACAAAAUCUGGGUUGUAGAAAUCGUUUUAUC